GACGAACCGUGCAAACGUUGUUCGGAAUCACUGGGCUUAAAGGGCGCGUAGGUGGAUGAGCAAGUCUGUGGUGAAAUCCCCCGGCUUAACCGGGGAACUGCCGUGGAUACUGCCCAUCUCGAGGAGGGUAGGGGCGUCUGGAACUAGCGGUGGAGCGGUGAAAUGCGUUGAUAUCGCUAGGAACUCCGGUGGCGAAGGCGGGUCUCUGGGCCGAUAUUGACGCUGAGGAGCGAAAGCGUGGGGAGCGAACAGG
rnacentral:rRNA from 1 species